GGGUAGGACGCAAUCCGCGUCCGGUUAGAACCCAGCUUCGGUUGAUAAAAGCUUCCUAGGGUUUUAGUCUGCCUCUGCUGCUGAAGAUUCUCUCACAAACAAUCGUUUCUCGAAGAAAUCUCUUUCGAGAAUGGCUUUUUGGGGUGUUGAAGUAAAGCCAGGAAAGCCAUACACCCAUCAAUACGACGACACGCACGGAAGGCUUCACAUUUCUCAGGCUACAUUAGAUUAUGGGCCGUCAAUGAAGAAGAGUGUUGUUCAGUGCAAUGUGGGCAAUAAGACUCCUGUCCUGCUAUGUUCUUUGUUGCCUGAGAAAAUAGAGUCAUGCCCAUUGAAUCUUGAAUUUGAGGAGGCUGAUGAAGUCGUUUUCUCAGUUCUUGGCCCCAAAAGUGUGCACCUUACUGGUUACUAUCUGGGUUCGAGUCGUAGGUACAAUCAAGACGGUGAUGACACUGAUUCUUAUGGGGAAGAUAUUGCUGAUACGGAAACUGAUCGAUCGAAUGAAACUGAAGAUGAGUAUGACGAUGAUUUCAUUGAUGAUGGUGAUCCUGAACUCUUUCUUGCGUCACCUCAGCUCAGAAGUAGUGGAGUUAUAAAUGACGAGAUACUGGAUGAUGUAAAACCUACAAAUAAGAGUGGUACUCGAAGGCGUCUUAAGAAGAAGUAUCAGGCCAGUGACUCUGAAGGAGAUAAUGGUGAUCAUGCAAAAGUUUUUGGCAAACAUACUAGCCUUGUUGUUUUGGAAAGUGAAGAUGAAGAUUGUAUUCCACUUUCUGCCAUACGGAGAAGUGAACAAAAUGUUAGUGAAAAAGCAGAAGAUAAAUUAGACAAUAAUUCUGCUGGGGAAGUUAGGAAGAACAGGAAAGGGGAAGAUGAUGGUGAUCAAGGAAUGCUUUUAAAAAGGAAGAUUGAUGCCAUUGAGCAAGACGGUAAUAGAGAAAGGGAAGCUAACCAGACAUGUGGUUCCUUAGUAUUAGCAAGUGGGGUUGCUGCUGAAAAUGGUCUGAAGUCAAAGAAGAAAAAGAAAGAGAGGGCUAAGGAGCUAAAAAUCCUUGAGUCAGGGGUUAGUUUAUUGACUGAUAAAACUAUGGAACGGGCCAGUAGAGAACAAAAUCAAGCUAUAGAUGAUGGCCAGAUAAACAUCCCUAAUGACGGUAAAGAUUGGUCAUUGGAGGCGAAUAUUGAUAACAUGGACCAGGAUUUGCCAAUCAGAGGUGAUCUGAAGGAGAAGCUACCAAGCAAUGAGAAUGCCAUUGACUCAAUUCCCUCAGAUGUAGUUAUUGUUGAAUUUAAUGGAAGGCCAAAGAAGAAAAAGAAUAAAAGUUCAAAGGAUACUGCACUUAAACAAGAAGUUGAUCCAUCAUCUGAAACAGUAGACAAGGCUUCUUAUGACAAUGGGAAGUCAUCUCAUAUCAUUGAAGAGGCUAAGAGUGAAAUGAUAGACCAGGAUAUGCCUGUUAGAGCUCAAGAAUCAAGCGCCAAGCUUCCGGAUGAUCAUCAAAACGAAGGUAAGAAACAGAAGAAAAAACUGAAGCGUAAGGCGAGUGAUACAAAUAAAAACAAUGAGGGAUCAGGGUUGACAAUGAUGGAGGAGAAAACCGAGUAUGCUAAAGAGAUUGAGAUGAAAGCUGAAGUGCAAAUAUCAGAAGCAAAGACCUCUGAUGGAUUGGUUAUUGAGGAGCUAUCAAUGGGCAAUCCUGAUGGCAAAAGAGCUUCUCAUGGAAAUAAAGUGUCUAUCUACUAUACUGGUAGGUUAAAUGAGAAUGGAAAAGUAUUCGACUCGAAUAUUGGCCAAAAGGCUUUUAAAUUCCGGCUAGGUAAAGGACGAGUUAUAGAGGGAUGGGAUGCUGGAAUUCCUGGUAUGCGCAUUGGUGACAAAAGAAGGCUAAUUAUUCCACCGUCUUUCGGUUAUGGGCCUGAAGGAGCAGGGGAAGUACCGGGGAAUGCAUGGCUCAUGUAUGACGUUGAGUUGGUUGACGUCCGCUAAGCAUUUUGCUUCAUUGUCUUCCCUCUUCGGGCUUAACACUUAACGCGGAAUGCGCAAAAGAUUUUGUUCAACAGUGGCCUCAUCAAGCUCUACCAAUAGAGGGUGCUGCCGUGAAGUUUUUUUUUCAAUUUUCUUUUUGGGGACAUGCAUGGCAGCAGCUAUCCGACUAACAACUAUUGACCCCAGGUUUUAUGGUGCUGGAAACUUCUCUGUGAGUAGAAUUUAUGUUUGAUUAUAUUAUUAGCAAGUUAAGAGGCAGUUUCUUGUUAUUAUUUGGAUCCUUCACUGAUAGGUGCUCUUUCCACUAGAAUGGGGGCAGUUGCAUUUUUUGAAGGUGUUGAUAGCAGAGUUCACCUGAGCAUUAAGAUGCUGAUUCGAGAGAUACAAGAACUAGAAACUGAGCUGCAUGAAGGAGAAAACAAAAGCACAGUACUUGAGAAACGGCAGAUGAAAAUGUUUUACUGUGUGCUUGCUUUAUGCUGCUGCUUUGACAUUUAUUUUAUUUAAAAAGAAAAAUUGUGAAACU